rnacentral:tRNA from 1 species
AGUAAAAUUUAGUUAUUGAUAAUUAACUUUUUAAAACUUACUA